rnacentral:rRNA from 1 species
AUGAACGCUAGCGGCAGGCUUAAUACAUGCAAGUCGAGGGGCAGCACAGGUAGCAAUACUGGGUGGCGACCGGCAAACGGGUGCGGAACACGUACGCAACCUUCCUUCAAAUGGGGGAUAGCCCACCGAAAGGUGGAUUAAUACCUCGUAACACAGUGGACUGGCAUCAGUCUAUUGUUAUAGCUCCGGCGUUUGAAGAUGGGCGUGCGGCUGAUUAGGUAGUUGGCGGGGUAACGGCCCACCAAGCCAUCGAUCAGUAACUGGUGUGAGAGCACGACCAGUCACACGGGCACUGAGACACGGGCCCGACUCCUACGGGAGGCAGCAGUAAGGAAUAUUGGGCAAUGGACGCAAGUCUGACCCAGCCAUGCCGCGUGGAGGAUGAAGGCCCUCUGGGUUGUAAACUUCUUUUAUUUGGGAAGAAAUCACUUUUUUCUAAGAGUGUUGACGGUACCAGAUGAAUAAGCACCGGCUAACUCCGU